UGGGGAAUAUUGGACAAUGGAGGAAACUCUGAUCCAGCAAUUCUGUGUGUGUGAAGAAGGUUUUAGGACUGUAAAACUCUUUUAGGAGGGAAGAAAAAAAUGACGGUACCUACAGAAGAAGCAACGGCUAAAUACGUGCCAGCAGCCGCGGUAAUACGUAUGUUGCGAGCGUUAUCCGGAAUUAUUGGGCUUAAAGGGCAUCUAGGCGGUAAGACAAGUUGAAGGUGAAAACCUGUGGCUCAACCAUAGGCUUGCCUACAAAACUGUUGAACUAGAGUACUGGAAAGGUGGGUGGAACUACACGAGUAGAGGUGAAAUUCGUAGAUAUGUGUAGGAAUGCCGAUGAUGAAGAUAACUCACUGGACAGAAACUGACGCUGAACUGCGAAAGCUAGGGGAGCAAACAGG
rnacentral:rRNA from 1 species